rnacentral:rRNA from 1 species
UACGGAGGAUGCGAGCGUUAUCCGGAUUUAUUGGGUUUAGAGGGUGCGUAGGCGGAUUUUUAAGUCAGCGGUAAAAUGUCCGGGCUCAACCCGGGCCGGCCGUUGAAACUGGGGAUCUUGAGUGGGCGAGAAGUAUGCGGAAUGCGUGGUGUAGCGGUGAAAUGCAUAGAUAUCACGCAGAACUCCGAUUGCGAAGGCAGCAUACCGGCGCCCGACUGACGCUGAGGCACGAAAGCGUGGGGAUCGAACAGG